AGCCUGGGAUAUGCAGUCCCUGCCAGGUUCUGGAUCCCAGAUAAAAAUGGAGAGAGGAAGGGCUUUCCUCAGCUUCUCCACCCAGCUUAGGAGAGUAAUAGCAGCUUGCAAACAACCUGGACUAGUGCGUUGGCUCCAGAGAAGAGGUCAGGAGAUUCGGAAUCUCCAUCAUACAUUUCCAACUUGCAUGCAAAAAUAAUCAGGACCCAGGGCUCAGUCCCUUCUCCUGGGGAGGUCUCUCCAGGCAAGAACAGAGGACCAGUGUGGAGCAUGCCAUCAUGACCAAGGAUCAGCAAAAGCAGAGGCAGAGUCACCCAAUUUGGCACAGAAACAGGAUACCAGGCAAUAGGAACCUAAGCACAGUACCCAGAAUUUGGGGGAACACAGGAGAGAGUGAGCAGUCAGUGAUGAGAGGGGCCGGUGCUGGCCUAUCCUCGGAUUAGGGGACUCUAGUGAAUGGACGUCUUCGAGUACGUAUCCGAGGAGUGAUUCCACUGUUACCUUUCUGACAAACAACUGAGUAUGCCCUGUGCAUUCAUCCAUAGCACACACUCCCACCUCAGUUCAGAGGUGGCCUGUCCAGUCACACUAAUUUCUUGUCACCAGUCCCAAUCCCAGAAGCUCAGUGGACAAAUUGCUCCCAGGGGGUGACAAACAACUUGGAUAUUUCAAGAAGUUGCCUUAGCUUUGAGGCUGUCUGGAGAGAAUGGAGAGGCUGAACACGUGGGACACAGGAGGCUGGGCCAGCACUGGAGCACCGCAGAUUCCCCGUGAGUAAGAGUGAAUCACCAGCCCAGGCUUCCUCCUGGCCAGGCAGAGGCAAUGGCCCAGUUUUGUAAUUGCUGAAGGUGCUUGUUGUGGAGAGUCAGUUGCCUCGCCCUGAUCUGCAUACAAUGGGCCACUGCCAGCCCAGAGACCCGGAAGCAGCCUUCCACAGUCACACCUCAGCUUCCCUGUCCCUACUCCAGGCAGUUCCAUCCACUUCCUCAAAAAGCAUCCUCGAAUUUUCCUCAGCCAGCCCCUUCCUGUCCUGUCUUCAGGCUGGCAAGCGACACUGUUGACAUCAUGUCUGCCGAGGGAGGAGAGAUUCCAAGAGGUGACUUGUGAUGUCACCCUCAUCCAAGACUGAAGGUGUUUGGUCUUUUGUCAUCUGCUGUGCAUUCCUCUGUGUCUUAACUGGAGCCAGAGUCCCUGAGGCACAGCCUAGGACAGGAAAGUCACUCUGAGAUGGUUACAACAUCUUUCUUUCAUCAGUAAAUCCAGAGGACUCAGAGGUAGUGUAAAACUAUUGCUGUGGGAUUUGUUCAUUCAUUCAGUGAGAAAUUUUCCAUUUUUUUGAAGCUAGCAAAAGGUGCAGGCUGGUGGCCUUGGUUAGUAUCUGACUGACAAAAGACAGAUUUGGAUUAAAGCUUGUGGGAUCCUUGAAUGCUGAUCCAAGUACUGCCAUGGAUAGUAUCCAGAGGGGAACCAUUGAAAUGUUGCCAGAAGGGAAACAAACCCAAUUUUCUCAUUCUCACUACUUUCCUGUAGACAGUAACAGUUUGCCCAUCGAUCCAACAAACUCUGUUGUGCCCCUCCAAGAGCACAGGGAUGCUGGCUGCAGGGUGCAGGAUGGUGUCCCCAGGGCCUGUUCUGGUCCCUCAGUGAGCAAUGGCAGAGCCUUGGGCCCGCCCCCAGGGUCCAGAAGGGAAAUGGGAAGCAAAGGCAGAAGCCAGGAACAGGGACAGCUGGUUGGCUGACCUUCCUACCCAGGUCCAGCCCUCCCCCAAGGUGUGACCUGUGCGAGAAAUGGAUCCACAGCUGCAGUUUCAAAACCGGCCCUGCCCAAGCUGGUCACCUCCACUGCAGUAAGUGACCUACAUUAAUGCUACUGCUGGGGCAGGCAGGGGCAUGAGUGCUGACAGGAGAGUUAAAUUAGCCUGGGAGGUAGGCACCGGGGAAGUUAAGUAGAAAGUAAAACCCAAAGGAUGGAGGUGCUUUGGGGACUGUGAGGGGGAGGUGGGCUGGGAAGAAAGGCAGCAGUCAGCCCAGCAGGGUGGCCUGCUUUGGGGGGCAGUGGGAAUCAGGCAGGAAAGGCAGGUUUGAACUAGCCUAUGGGUGUCCCUAAAGUUCAAGUAAUUGCCCAGGUUGGAUUCAGAGAAGAUCCCAGUGUGUGCUGAGGAGGAUCAAAUACUAACUGAGAACCGCACAGAUGUCGGAGACUGUGUUAGUGAAGGGGUUCAUCAUGGGUGUGGCUUGCCCCCCAGGGACAGUUUCUAGUUUGGGGGAUGGGUCAGAAAUGUGGUAGCAAUAUUUGCAGGCUCUUCAUGUUGCUUAGGGAGGAGGCAAAAGACCUGACUGGGAGGGCAGGAUUGGGGUGGGUAGGUGGGUGGGGCUGUACACCACCAGGGUUCUGCAAUAAUCUCUCAGUCACAGACCGAAGAGAGAGCCAGGGAAGGGAUGAAGGACUAGGCAGGGACCUGAGGCAGGAGUGGAAGGGAAGAUGGGAGAGUGGAGGAGCAGUCACUUGGAUGGAUGGACAGGGUCGGAGGAGACCAGGACGAAAGGCAUCCAUAGGAAAAUGGGUGUGGCUUGGUACUGGGUGAGACAGCUGCACGGAAUGGGAGGGGAAGAAAAAGGACAGACACGUGGGCUCUGGGGAUGUGUGCGCUGCCUUGCUCUCAAAUCCGGUUGUUUUCCUAUAGCUGGGUUUUGCUUUUAAAUAAAUCGGUUAUUCCUUCCUGUUAUAGAAAGAGAAGAAAACUCUCCCCAGCCUCCCAAAGACCAAUACUGCCAACACUUUGGAAAUAUUUCUGUCAGGUCAUUUUUCCUGCAUCAAUUUCUGUUUGGUUUUCACAUUGUUCUAAUCAUACUGUGUUUACAACUUUGUAUCCUGUUGCAUUUAACAUCCAGGGUGUAUCUGGAUUUUUUUUCUGCAUGUUAAAUUUAUCCUGGUUAUUAUAAAUGUUCAUUUUCCAUAUGUAGUUAUGUAAAGAGUAUCAUUCCAUUGUUUUUUUUCUUUCUUCACAGCAAACUUUGAAAAUGUUGCUUCCUCCCCAAUUCCUCCUCUCUCUCUUUCAUCCUUCUUUCUCUCUUCCCUUUUCCCUUCCUGCUGCUUACUAGUCCCCCCUUACUGCCUUCUUCCAUCUCUGGAGUCAGGAGCAGGGGCUCUUUCCUUGGUAAGAGACACAGACAGGACAUCUAUAAAGCCACAGGUCCAGGAGUCCUGGGGCACCUGCUUGGCAGAAGGAAAACAUCUGAUGAUAAGUCUCCCAGCUGAUUGGUAACUAACUCCACCCCUGGGCUGGAUGUGAGGGUGUGGAGAGGCAGGUGAGGCUGGGGCAAGGUGUCUCAAGAUGUUACCUAGGGUGUUUAAGAAUAUAGAGUCUCGGGCCUGGGAUUUAGCUCAGUGGUGCCACUGCCUGCCUGGCAAGCGCAAGGUCCCGAGUUUGAUCCCGGGUACCAAAACAAAACAAAACAAAACAAGAAUAUAGAGUCUUGGGUCGGGGAUUUAGCUCAGUGCUGCUGCCUGCCUGGCAAGAACAAGGUUCCAAGUUCGAUCCCUGGUACCCCCCCCAAAAAAUAAAUAAAAAUAAAAUAAAUAUAAGAAUAUAGAAUCUCUGAAAAAUGGAAAUAAAACACAUUCCAUUUAGAGUGAAAGAGGGUCUGGUCUGUCAGUAAGCCCUGGCCCAUCGUGGAAAGAGCGUUUCAUUAUCAUAGAGUAUUCACAGUAAUGUUUCAAAAAACCUGUGAGUCCUUCUUUUGCUUGGUGUCAUUAAUGGGCAGGUGUACACAGUCCCCACCUCCGCCACCUACACACUGUCCUUCCUUCUUCUCUGUCUGUCUGUCUCUCUCUCUCCCAACCCAGUGAAAUUUCCAAAGGCAUCUUUGUUCAGUAAUCAUGACAAUCUCCCUUGUCCCAAAUGCUUCCCUGUCCCCAGCCCCUGUGCAUAUAUUUCUCAUCAUGCCACAGGAGGUAGGGACUAUCACGCCUAGAGCAUGCCUUGCUUGUCCCCAGUCACUUGACCAGAUCACACAAAGAAAAAGCAGGAGAGCCUGGAUUGAAACUCAGGUGACUGACCCCCAAAGUCCUUUCCCUGAACCACCACACCCCACUGUGUUACAUUUGUGCUUCACAUUUUCAAAUCAAGAAUGCAGUGCUGGUGGAAAUUAAUUGCAGAGACACUCAUGAUGUUCAAAGCUCUUGCACUGUGAAUGUAGAUGAUGUACCAAGGACUCUGCAUUGUUGAUGAUUCAGAUUUUGGGUGACUGCAUGGAAGAACCUAUCUUUCCCUAAGUUUUCAGGGAGCUGAGGUGGUUCAGCUGCUCUUAUAGAUGUUGAGGCUUUGACUCCAUGACUAAGGGCCUCAGUGGGAAAGGACUGUGUGUUGCACUGGUCUAAUCUAAUUAGGACACUGCUGCCUGUCUCUGAGGACUGGAAGAGUCCACCCUCUCUCAUCCAGUGCCUCUGUUCUGUCUCUUUAUUGGCCUCAGAGCAGGGAGUAUACCAAAUAAAGCACCCCGCCAGGAAGAAGGGGUCACCAGUGUCAGGCUGAAGACCCCUCUGUGCAGCUGCCUGGAGACUCCUGCAUGACCUUCCCUUGGGGAAGCAGCUGGGCCUGGCAUGUACCCACCCACUAGCCACAUGUUUCCUGCCCCAAAUGUCAUUUGACCAUGAUAUAAUGAGCUGUAUAAAAUUAAAAAUGGCUAAAUACCACCUUAUUUACAGUAAUUUUCUACUUUCUGAAGUCAUCCCCAAACCUCUCCUUUACAACACCGACCUCCAGAUCAUGCCAAUUGCAGUGAGAAGCCCAUCAUUACAACCACAGACCACGAGGAAACUAGCACAGGACCUGGAGCUUGCUGGCUCACUGGCUGCUGCUCUGGCCCCAUCAGCCUGUUUUUCCAUCACAUGCUUUUUAGGCAGUAGGGAACUGGGCAGAGGGAACCCUCAGUUCUCUGCCCCCAAACUGGGGACCCUUAAGAAUAUCUCCAAGUAAGCAGCUGGGUUCAGAGGAACGUGUACAUCCACUUGCCGGAGUUGGAGUUGGGAUUUGGGCUUCUGCAAUCUGCACUUGGGCCUUACAAAGUGUGAGUCUUAUUUGUAGGUGGCUCUUGAGUCAUUGUUGUGUCUUAAUCUGUGUGGACAGUCUUGCAGCACCCUCCUUCUUCCUAAGGCUAUCUGUUAUGGACUGGAUUGUGUACCUCUUCCAGCCUCCAAUUCAUUUGUUGAAGCCAUAAUGUGGCUCAGAAUGUGACUAUAUCUUUACCAAGGGCCUUUAAGGAAUUCAUAAGUUAAAUAAGAUCACAUGGAUGGGCCUUCAUUAGAUAGGACCGGUGUCCUUAGCAGAAGAGGAGGAAACACUGGAGCUUGCUCUCCUCAUGCUCACAGAGAGAAAGAGGGCCCUGCCAACACCUUGACCUGGGAUUUCCAACCUCCAGACCUGAGAGAAAAAAAAUUCUGUUGCUUAAUCUACUUGGUCUGUGGUAUUUGAUUAUGGCAACCUUAGAAAAUGAAUAUAUCGUCUGUGUGAUUUCUUAUAUGAUAAGGUCUUACAAUGAAACAUAAAUGAAUUGAUGACUAUUUCUAUAAGGAAACUGAUAAGAACCCUUGAGUUAUCAUGGGAAGAGUUAAAUUCUCCAUGCUUGAGCUAGUUUAGCCAGUUCUUUCUUAUUGGCAAAAAUUCUACAGUUGAAAUUAUUUAAGACAUUAACUAAAACAAUCUUAAGUCUCUCUAUUUCCUGCUCUUUCUGUUCCCGUUACUUUUUUUUUUUUUUUUUUGAGAUAGGAUCUUACUCUGUAGCUCAGGCUGGCCUUGAACUUUCUAUCCUCUUGCCUCAGCCUCCUGAGUGCUGGGAUUACAGGUGUGUAACGACCACAUUUGGCAUCCCACUACUCUUAAUCACUCUCAUUCCUCCUCCUCUAGUCCAACCCUUGGCAAGUCAGGGCAUUGGCCUGUUGACAUUGAGCACUCUUCCAGGCCACCUCUGUGUUAGGCACUGGAGGUAUAGGAAUGAAGGAAGCAGAUCAUGGCCCUUGCUCUUACAUGGCUUCUGUUGAAGUAGGGGAAAGCAGAAAUCAAAAUAAACAAGGAAUGUAUCUGAGAGUGAAAAGCUAGUGAGUAAUUCAAACCACAGCAGUGUGAUAGUGGCUGAGAGCCUGCUGAGAUGGGGCAAAGAGAAACCUGUCCUGUCCACCCUUUCAGAAACAUUUUUCACCUUGCCUCUGUUGCCACCCCCACCACAUGAACCCAUGUGCCUUGGCUGGGUUCCUGCCAAAGCUUUCUGACUGGUGGUCUAUCUGCCACCUCGUUGGCCUUACUGUAAUCUACUUUCCAUAUAGCAGUUAGUGGAUUAUUUUAAAAAUGCAGCCAGUUCUCAUUAUUCACAAUAGUCAUGCUCUAUAAAGUCAACUCAAACACUGAAUUAGGGAAUGUGGAAACAUUGCUCCUGGGGGGAAUGCAGGGCUGGCUUCCUUCAAGCCUCUGGCCACAACACUCCUCCACCCAUCACUAUAUGACCUUGUUUUAUGUGAGUUUCUGUGUAGACACCUUGUUUAAUCCAUAUUUCUGACUCACUAACAUUGAACUCUCAGCCAGUUGCACCACAGCAGCCUGCAUGGAGCUUCUCUACCACGUGUACACUCUUCAUGAGGCCCAGUUAGCCUUCCUGCACUCCUGACAUAGACAGUGCUGCUGUUCCGAGGGAAUGUGGGCCCGAGGAGUGAGCAUUUGAGAAAGCAAAA